UCCUUGGUGGCUCAGUGGGUUAAAGUUCCAGCAUUGUCACUGCUGUGGCUCUGGUUACUGCUGUGGCCUGGGUUUGAACCCCAGCUGGGGAA
rnacentral:tRNA from 1 species